rnacentral:sRNA from 1 species
CUUUAGUUCGCAAUUUGCGUUAAGGAUUGAAAUGGCAUCCUUUUUGUUUUUCACAAAAAGAUAUAAUGGAAAGCCUGUUAAAAC